GGUCUUUCUCAGGCUCGCUACCGCGGGUCGACUUAAAAAACCCGCUCAGUCGAUUGCUUCGGCGAUCGGCCACGCAGGUCUUCUGUUCUGGAAGCUGUUCGGAAUUAACGCCGAAGAUAACCAGCAGCUCUUGGAUCGUUGUUGAGGCGCCCAAGAUUCACAGAUCACAUGCCUGCGACCACGUUAAUGUCGUGGCUCUGAUAUGACCGAACCCCCACCAGAAAUUGGUCGGCGGAGUCGCGGAACCUGCGGAAGGAUCAUUA
rnacentral:rRNA from 1 species